AAUGGCUGUGAGUUUCACCUGCCGUUAUACCUUUGGGAAGUCAGACUGAAUUCUGUUUGUAGAGAGGAGUUCCCUCGUGCACAGAGCAAUGAAUGGGUAGCUGUGGACCAUUUCACGUCAAGAGGGAACUGAAUUCUUUUAGCCAUUGAUUUGCCCAAGUUUAGGCUCAAUUAAAAGAUACGUAUUUGAAGCAGCUGAACGGAGCUCAAAAGCCUCAGCUUUGACAUCCUGAUUCUACACCAGCCAGCAUGGGAGACAGGAGGGAAAGAGCUUUGUUCCUCCCGACGUGUUCCCAUCACACUUCAUGGCUGAGCAAUGACAGUCAUGUUGUUCUGCUGCUGCUACAGCUUGUAUACCAACCACUGACUGUUCUCAUGACAACACCACGAAGGGAAACUGUCACGAUUCCCAUUUUCACAGGUGACAAAGAGACGUAACAAAGUCAUGGAACUUACCUAAGGUUAAAAGUAGAGUCCAAAUCUGUGAGGAAACACAGAAGCACAUGUGGGAGAAGCCAAGGCUUAGGCCUGAACCUUGUUUUUCUGGGGAUGAGUCUUAUCACGGGCGCUGAGGACCCAGCGGGCAACACGACAGGCGAGAUGCCUUCCUUCACAGAAAUGCCUGCCUCAGAGGAGACAGAGCUUGUACCCCAGAGAUACCUGUUCGGAGAGCUCGGGAGGCAUUUCCAUAGGCUCAUUGUCAAGUGAAUGUUAAAGCCCCCAUUCACUGGGAAGCGAAGGAUUGUUUGGGGCCUUCUGCAUAUGAGAGCUAUUAAAAAGAUGAAAAAGUAGGACUGAAAUAUGAGGGGAGAAAUAGAGAAGACCGUGGUUUCCAGCCUCUUUUGUGGGAGAAUAAUUUAUUUGUUUGACAGAAAUGAGAUUAUUUUAAGAGAUUAACACAUGAAUUAAUGCCCGAAACUACAGAAUACUCAGAGGACUUGAAACACACACAAAGUUCCACAUAGAGGAAAGCAGAUGGACUAGAUUGACAGCUUGAGAUGAAGUUUAAGAAGAUGAAGGAUCCUGGGCAUUGAGGAAGCAUGGCAAAUGAGAAGGAAACUGUGAGAAAAGGGAUUUUUCUCGUGUUUUUCCUUGGAGGGUGACAGAGACCCUGCUAAAGGGGAAAAGUGAAGAACCUUUGCCCACCAUUCUCUGGAUUUGAUGUGUACAUGACUGUCUAAUAGUAACAGAUUUUCCACAAUUUCAAAUAUUAAGUAUAUAAUAAAAGCUGUAAAGGGAAGAUCAGGCUAUAUCGUGAAAAGGUAGAACUGAGGAAGCGAUUUUGCUAGGCUGAAGGAUACAAAAGGAAAGAACACAUUGCAAAGGCAAUAGAGAGGAGAGAAUUAAUGGAGUAGGAUACUAGAAGAGAGUAUUUAUAUAUUUUUGUGUAUGAGUGAGUGUGUGCACAUGCAUGUGCUGGGACCCGAAGGAAACAGGGAUUGGAUUAGGGCAAUAUUUUGGUUUAUAUUCAGUUCUUUGAACAAUACUCAGUUUUAUAGACUGUUCAUGUUUGAUAUCUCUGUACACCUCUCCCAUGAACCAAUCGAGAAUGUUGCUUUCUUUUGACAGUAGCAUUUUGUAGAUGCAAUUUGGUCUUAUAUUUCCACAAAUAAAAAACAAAAAAAUCACACUUUAUAGCUCUGUGAACACUCAGAGAAAACUUUCUUAGGAUGAUACAUGGCAAAGAAAAGAAUGUUUCCUCUAUUUCAUGUAUAGAAAGCACAUUAAUAUUUUCCCUAGAUAUAGAACUGGUCAUAUAUGCCUUUGACUGUUCUUACUGCAGUGUACUGUCAACAUGGAAUACAUUUUAGGGGUUGAAGACCAGUCAAAGGGGGAAAAGGAACAACUAAGCAAAAUGAAUCUGCAGGAUAUUUCUGUCCUGUUUUCAUAAUUCGCUGUUAUGUAGUUAGGACCUCAAGGAGCAAGGGCUACAUUUUCCUUUUUCAUUUUGAAACAAUCACAACAUUAUUUAAUCAGGAGAAAAAAUUUAUUUUACAAAAUCUUUAAGGAAGGAGGAGUAUUUCUUCAUGAUCUACCAAUGAAGUUUGAAUAGAAGUAAUAGGAAGCCUCUUCCCUACAUUGUCAUCAAAACAUCCCAAAGUUUUAUCCUGCCUGGAAAAUUCCUCACACAUGAUUCUGAUUUCUUAGCUUCAAACUGUGCCUGGGAGGAAUCUUUUGUUCUCGGUGCUGCCAAAACUUCCACCUUCCAGCAAUGACCUCAGUUUAGCACCUGCUCAUAAGAUGUGUUUGCACAUCGUUGGUACAUUAUGAUGACAUAUAUGUUCCCAUCAAGGAGACUGUCAUAGAAUCCAGAAGAUGUUAACAUUUUUCCAUCUGUGUGUGAAAGUGACGUUUCCUGUUAAUUUUGUUCUCUUGCUGAACUCUCCAAGCAAAAGCCUUCUGUGGGAGGCAGAAUGAUGUCAUUACAGUCAUAGCAUAAAUUUUUCAACCUUUAGAAUGAGACAUA